rnacentral:pre_miRNA from 1 species
GGAAACUUGGAAACUAUCGUUGGAUUGAGAAAUGGACGUCCGAGAAUCAUCCACGUCACCCUGAGUUAAAAUUUAACUCGCAGAUUCACUCAUGAGUUAAAAAUUUACUGGGAGUGAAAUUUUAACUCAUGAUGAUGUGGACGAAUCUCAGACAUCUAUUUCUCGAUCCAACGAUAGUUUCCAAGUUUAA